rnacentral:rRNA from 1 species
UGGGGAAUAUUGCACAAUGGGCGCAAGCCUGAUGCAGCAACGCCGCGUGAACGAAGAAGGUCUUCGGAUUGUAAAGUUCUGUCCUUAGGGAAGAAGAAAGUGACGGUACCUAAGGAGGAAGCCCGCUAACUACGUGCCAGCCAGCCGCGGCUGAAUAACGUAGGGGCAAGCGGGUUAUCCGGAAUGAUUGGGCGUAAAGAGUACGUAGGUGGUUUGUAAGCGCGAGGUGAAAGGCAGUGGCUUAACCAUUGUAAGCCUUGCGAACUGCGAGACUUGAGUGCAGGAGAGGAAAGCGGAAUUCCUAGUGUAGCGGUGAAAUGCUUAGAUAUUAGGAGGAACACCAGUGGCGAAGGCGGCCUGCUGGACAUUAACUGACGCUGAGGCGCGAAAGCGUGGGAGCAAACAGGAUUAGAUACC